rnacentral:misc_RNA from 1 species
AUAUAAUCCUUGCUAUGUGAUCUUUUGAAGGAACAGUUCCACGACCGGACACUGGAAAUACAGUAUUAACAAGUUCUGAAAGACGGCUCAGACAGAGGGUUAGGAAAGCAGUCUGGAAUAUUUCAAUGGAAGAUAACAUUUGGUCCUUUGCUUCUGAACUGAGAGCUGGUGGAACUCCUUUGACGUCUGUAUCACGUGAAAUUCUUUCAAGCAGGUUUUCUAACAUAGAGAAGAGUUUUGGAUAUCCAAGAGUG